UCUUAAAUGAAUCUCCAGAAGUUUCUGUGUUUAUUAAGCGAUUCUCUAAAUGUCUGGAUAGUGCUUUCCCUCAAAAGCUGAUGUAUGUUUGUAGGACUCAGAGAUGGUUGAAGAACUCAAGUGACUUUUUUUUUUUUUUUAAUGAAAUCCAGAACUACCACAUUAUUCUAGAAACUCAAGGGGAGUCGUGAUGCUUCAUGUCUACCCUUGUGCGAGCCUGACUAUGAAACAGUCCCAGCCUCCCUUAUCCUGCCCACGACUCCCCAGAUCUGGAGAAACGGGUCCCCCUUACCUUCAUGCGUCCAGGCCACCGCGUCUCUGUGCUGCUCUGCUUCCAUGCCCGUCCUGUGUGGGCUCACAAGCACCCAAAGGUGUGGACACAGUUGCGGUUUCUGCAACAGUCCGAGUCUAAACCUUCUCAGAGAAAACAAAGGGGAGAGAUACUACCUUUGCUAAAAAAAAACACUUUGGCCCUGUAGGAAGUCUUCAGGGACAGGAACGGAGGAGGACACUUCACACUUCCCGCCACCACACGUCUCCCCUGGUCCGACGGUGAAACAGAGGCCGAGGGAGGCAGAAAUGGGCAGAAGGAGAUCCCCCAGCCGCCCUCCAGCCUGGCUCGUCCACUGUUGCGUUCGCCUCUAACUUGUCCUUAUCACAGGUUAUGUGAAAGGCCACAGGGAAGACUUGCCCUUUUUCUCUGGAAGCGAUUCUGUGACUCAUUUAAAUCACAGGGGUUCUUCAUGUCCCCUCAGAAGACAGCAGCGCAUUCUGGGACCCAGAUGGGGGUGGGAAGCCCCUCCUUGGCCAGAGCAGUCGACCCUGAUUUCUGGGAAAGAGGCGCUAGGCUCCUUGGCCAUAAAUAGUUAUUAAGACUAAGGCUGCUGAGGUCUGGUGGCCCUCGGUUCACAGCUAAGCUGGCCCUCUGAGGACAGUGACUUCCCGCCUGCGGGACAACGACCAGGGAGAAGCCAGCUCCCUGGGGCAAGGCUGGGGCGCAGCAGAACAGCCGCCUCAGUCAGGAGGGAGCGCAGGGAGGCCUCGGGUCUGUCCUUGUCUGGCCGGGCACUAGGCCAGGCCAGCUCCUGAGCCGAGGCCGCCUUGGUGGGCCGUGACACGGGGCAAACACACACCUCCACGAGAAUCAGACGUUUGUUAGAGCGAGGAAAAAACAACAACAAAAAGCCUGCUCCUGUCCUGGCGUGAGAGUGAACUUCCCGAGAGCAGCCUGGUGACGUUCUGGAGUCAUUUAGGCCUCUGAGGUGUUCAGUGGCUCCCUCCUCAGUGCCACCCCAGCCCAGGGCUCAGCGGGCUUCAAGGGCCCGGGUUAAGCCCACCACCGAGUUUGGAGCCUCCGUUCCCUGACUCCUCUGCAGAAAGGGGUAGCUUGUCCCCAAGUGCCAGGGAGCUGGUCAGCCUCCAGGCACACAUUCCCAGCGCCGCAGCUGCGAUGCCCUGGGCCCUGCGGAGCCGGCGCCACAAGGACAGAGGUAGAAGCCGUGAUUCAUCAGUCUUCGAUAGCACCCGGUGCUCGUUCCGUCCCGUGCCUCCUCCUUGCCCGUCACCCGGUGACCCCAUCCCCCACCCACUCCCCUCCAGCAGCCCUCA